AGGGCUUAGCUGUAUUGUGAGCACUGUUACUCUCGCACCUGUUCACAGUGGCUAAGUUCCGC
rnacentral:pre_miRNA from 1 species